GAUGAACGCUGGCGGCGUGCCUAAUACAUGCAAGUAGAACGCUGAAGGAGGAGCUUGCUUCUCCGGAUGAGUUGCGAACGGGUGAGUAACGCGUAGGUAACCUGCCUGGUAGCGGGGGAUAACUAUUGGAAACGAUAGCUAAUACCGCAUAACAGUAGAUAUCGCAUGAUAUCUGCUUGAAAGGUGCAAUUGCAUCACUACCAGAUGGACCUGCGUUGUAUUAGCUAGUUGGUGAGGUAACGGCUCACCAAGGCGACGAUACAUAGCCGACCUGAGAGGGGGAACGGCCACACUGGGACUGAGACACGGCCCAGACUCCUACGGGAGGCAGCAGUAGGGAAUCGUCGGCAAUGGACGGAAGUCUGACCGAGCAACGCCGCGUGAGUGAAGAAGGUUUUCGGAUCGUAAAGCUCUGUUGUAAGAGAAGAACGAGGGUGGGAGUGGAAAGUUCACACUGUGACGGUAUCUUACCAGAAAGAGACGGCUAACUACGUG
rnacentral:rRNA from 1 species